rnacentral:rRNA from 1 species
UACGUAGGGCGCAAGCGUUGUCCGGAUUCACUGGGUUUAAAGGGUGCGUAGGUGGGCAGGUAAGUCAGUGGUGAAAUCCUUGAGCUUAACUCGAGAACUGCCAUUGAUACUAUCUGUCUUGAAUGUUGUGGAGGUGAGCGGAAUAUGUCAUGUAGCGGUGAAAUGCUUAGAUAUGACAUAGAACAUCUAUUGCGAAGGCAGCUCACUACGCAAAUAUUGACACUGAGGCACGAAAGCGUGGGGAUCAAACAGG